rnacentral:rRNA from 1 species
UACGUAGGCAGCGAGCGUUGUUCGGAGUUACUGGGCGUAAAGGGUGUGUAGGCGGUUGUUUAAGUUUGGUGUGGAAUCUCCCGGCUCAACUGGGAGGGUGCGCCGAAUACUGAAUGACUUGGAGUGCGGGAGAGGAAAGUGGAAUUCCUGGUGUAGCGGUGAAAUGCGUAGAUAUCAGGAGGAACACCGGUGGUGUAGACGGCUUUCUGGACCGUAACUGACGCUGAGACACGAAAGCGUGGGUAGCAAACAGG